rnacentral:rRNA from 1 species
AGAGUUUGAUCCUGGCUCAGAUUGAACGCUGGCGGCAGGCCUAACACAUGCAAGUCGAGCGGAUGANGGGAGCUUGCUCCUUGAUUCAGCGGCGGACGGGUGAGUAAUGCCUAGGAAUCUGCCUGGUAGUGGGGGACAACGUUUCGAAAGGAACGCUAAUACCGCAUACGUCCUACGGGAGAAAGCAGGGGACCUUCGGGCCUUGCGCUAUCAGAUGAGCCUAGGUCGGAUUAGCUAGUUGGUGGGGUAAUGGCUCACCAAGGCGACGAUCCGUAACUGGUCUGAGAGGAUGAUCAGUCACACUGGAACUGAGACACGGUCCAGACUCCUACGGGAGGCAGCAGUGGGGAAUAUUGGACAAUGGGCGAAAGCCUGAUCCAGCCAUGCCGCGUGUGUGAAGAAGGUCUUCGGAUUGUAAAGCACUUUAAGUUGGGAGGAAGGGCAGUAAGCUAAUACCUUGCUGUUUUGACGUUACNGACAGAAUAAGCNGUGNNCUAAA